rfam:Bacterium J17 isolate J17 NODE_23_length_7977_cov_22.7287, whole genome shotgun sequence.
GAUUAAGUUAAUAAGAGCAUACGGAGGAUGCCUUGGCGUUCAGAGGCGAUGAAAGACGUGAAAUAGCUGCGAUAAGCUUCGGGGAGCUGCUAAUUAAGCCCUGAUCCGGAGAUUUCUGAAUGGGGAAACCCAACUACUUAGGUAGUUAUCCCUUCGGGGAGGCUAACCAGGGGAACUGAAACAUCUAAGUACCCUGAGGAAGAGAAAUCAAACGAGAUUCUCCUAGUAGCGGUGAGCGAAAAGGGAAUAGCCCAAACCUAAAGAACUUGUUCUUUAGGGGUUGUAGGGCGCACAAUAAAGUCGACCAAAGUUGAUAGUUGAACUGAGUUGGAAAGCUCGGCCAUAGACGGUGAUAGCCCGGUAAACGAAAUUAACGAUGGCGGCGAGUGCGUUCCUGAGUACGGCGGGACACGUGGAACCCUGCUGGAACCUGGGUGGACCAUCAUCCAAGGCUAAAUACUACUGAACGACCGAUAGCGAACUAGUACCGUGAGGGAAAGGUGAAAAGAACUCCGAGAGGAGAAUGAAAUAGAUCCUGAAACCGUAUGUUUACAAGCAGUGGUAGCACUAUGUUUCCUUCGGGAUUCACGUGCGACCGCGUACCUCUUGCAUCAUGGGUCAGUGAGUUGCUCCUCUGUGGCAAGGUUAAGCCGUUAGGUGUAGCCGAAGCGAAAGCGAGUCUGAAAUGGGCGAAUUAGUCAUAGGGGGCAGACCCGAAGCCAGGUGAUCUAUCCAUGGCCAGGUUGAAGCUGGGGUAACACCCAGUGGAGGACCGAACCGGGAGACGUUGAAAAGUCUUCGGAUGAGCUGUGGAUCGGAGUGAAAGGCUAAUCAAACCUGGAGAUAGCUGGUUCUCCUCGAAAUAUAUUUAGGUAUAGCGUCGUGUAUAUGCAGUGGGGGUAGAGCACUGAUUGGGCUAGGGGGCCUACCAGCUUACCAAACCCAGCUAGCCUCCGAAUACCACUGUAGUGGAGCACGGCAGUCAGCCGGUGGAUGACAAGGUCCAUCGACAAAAGGGAAAGAACCCGGACCGCCAGCUAAGGUCCCUAAAUUGAUGCUAAGUGUGAAAGGAUGUGAGAACGCUUAGACAACCAGGAGGUUGGCUUAGAAGCAGCCACCCUUUAAAGAAAGCGUAACAGCUCACUGGUCAAGCGGGCUCGUGCCGAAAAUGUAACGGGGCUAAGCAUCAUACCGAAGCUGCGGAUUUGCCCGUUUUCGUUAAGUUUUUAUAUGGAAAGUUGGAGAGCUCUGCUUCGCUAAAGCUACGCAGAGCAUUUGCCCUUGAGGGCAAAUCCGUUCUGCGUAGCCUUGGCGAAGCAGAACCGAGACUCGAAAUAUAUGGAUUUAACGAAGACGGGCAAAUGGUAGAGGAGCGUUCUUAACGGGCUGAAGCAGUAUCGCGAGAAGCUGUGGACUGUUAAGAAGUGAUUAUGCUGACAUGAGUAACGAUAAACAAAGCUAAUAAACUUUGUCGCCGAAAGCCCAAGGGUUCCUGAGCCAGGGUAAACCGCUCAGGGUGAGUCGGGUCCUAAGCCGAGGCCGAAAGGCGUAGGUGAUGGAAAACAGGUUAAUAUUCCUGUACCUCAUACAUUGCGCGAUGGGGGGACGGAGAAGGCUAGGUCAUCUAGUUAAUGGAUAUGCUAGUUUAAGUAUGUAGGCUGUAGAGUAGGCAAAUCCGCUCUAUAAAGCCGAGAUACGAUGACGAUCCGCGGGGCAACCCAAGGAGAAGUGACCGGUGCCAUGCUUCCUAGAAAAGCCUCUAAGUUUAAAUGUAUGGGUCCGUACCGCAAACCAACACAGGUGGGCAGGUAGAGAAUACUAAGGCGCUUGAGAUAACCGUGGUUAAGGAACUAGGCAAAUUGCAGCCGUAACUUCGGGAGAAGGCUGGCCUUUGCUGGUGAUGGACUUGCGUCCUGAGCUGGUGAAGGUUGCAGAGAGCAGGGGGUAGCGACUGUUUACUAAAAACACAGGACUCUGCUAACACGUAAGUGGAUGUAUAGGGUCUGACGCCUGCCCGGUGCCGGAAGGUUAAGGGGAUCAGUUAGUUCUUCGGAGCGAAGCUUUGAACCGAAGCCCCGGUGAACGGCGGCCGUAACUAUAAACAAAAAGUAAACUCGUCAAGAGUUGGACCAUUGUAGUUACGUAAAUAAAUUUGGCCAUAUGCUGGAAAAUCCGGUGUAUCCUUCAGUACUAGUCGAUAAUUCAUCUAGAUGGUGGAUUUAGCGGCAGUGACAAUCUGAAAGGUGCGGACAAUCAGCAGGAAAGGCUUGUAUGUUGGAUGUAAAUAACAUUCCUAUCCAGGUGGGUUACUAUCUCGCUGGGUUUGCGGACGGUGAAGGAAGCUUCAACGUUUCGUUUAGACCUAGGGAUGAUUGCUCAAUUCCCUGGAAAAUCUCUCUUUGCUUUAAUAUUUCACAAAAAGAUGAAGUCAUUUUGGCGUUGUGUAAACGUCAUCUCCAAUGUGGGACGAUGCGACAACGAAAUGAUGGUGUAUGGUAUUACGAAGUGAAUAACUUCAGAGCUAUUCAAGAAAACGUAAUUCCUUUUUUCCGUAAAUUCUCGUUUUUAUCAGCUAAGAAAAAUCGAGAUUUUCAAAAAUUUGUUAAAAUUGCGGAAAUCAUGGAAUCAAAACGGCACCUUCAAGCUGAAGGAGUCAGUGAAAUAUUGAAAUUAAGAGAUAAUAUGAACGAUGGUGGAAAGCGGAAGUAUUCCGCAGAAGAAAUCGUUCGACGCAUACAAGAAUCCUCAGAGACUACACGCCAGACAUCCGUAAAAAGAUGAUGAUAUAGUCCGAACUCUAUGGCGACAUAGAGAGCUAGGCAGAAAUGAUCUAGCCGCUCGAAUUAUUUCGGGUAGUAACAAAUUGAACGGUCCUAAGGUAAUGCUCCAUUGGGAGCUGUUGCCCCUCAGUAAGGAAACUUAUUGAGUGCAGCUGACUAUAUGCUGGAAACUCCGAGUAUCUGGUAGUACUCGUUGAAGAUGCUUUCGGGUUCUUCAACAGUGAAAAUCUAUCCAGUGCGGACAAUCAGCAGGAAACUUUCUAGGACGGAAAGGAUCCUCAGAGGCCAUACGUCGGCCAUCCUUAACUAAUUAACCAAUUAGAUAAACGCGGAGCGUUUAUGGGUGAAGAUAUGGUCCUAGCCCUAUGGCGACAUAGGGACAUACUAGAGCGAAAUUCCUUGUCGGGUAAGUUCCGACCUGCACGAAUGGCGUAACGACUUCCCCACUGUCUCAACCACGGACUCAGUGAAAUUGAAUUGGGCGUGAAGAUGCGCCCUACCCGCAGAAAGACGGAAAGACCCCGUGGACCUUUACUACAGCUUGGCGCUGAGCCUGGGGAAUGCAUGUGUAGGAUAGGUGGGAGACUUUGAAACUGGGGCGCUAGCUUCGGUGGAGUCAUCCUUGAAAUACCACCCUUGUAUUUCUUAGGUUCUAACAUUGAUGAGUGAAUCCUCAUCAUGGACAGCGUCUGGUGGGUAGUUUGACUGGGGCGGUCGCCUCGACUUUGGCCGCCUGCGCACUACUACAGUGCGCGAAUCAACAACAAGGGGCGCUCUGGUGGUAACAUCAGAGGCAAACUUAGCUAUAUGCUGGAAACUCCGUCCUCUAAGUGGUUUUUUGACGCGCUCAAAACUGCUGAAGAGGUGUAGAAUCCGAUGGUACUCGAUUUCUAGGAACGAGUGAAAACCCAUUCGGUGCGGACAAUCAGCAGGGAAGUUCCCUGAGAUCCAAAGAUCUUAUAACCCCUCAACGACUGAACGCUGAGCAUCCACAUUUAUGGAUGGUGAUACAGUCUGAUCUUCUAGGCGACUAGAAGCCUUAAAUAUACGAUAAUGUUAUUUAGGGGCCUCUUUUAGGAAAUUAUAAUGAAUUACAAACUUCCUAAUUCGAGAUUAACAUAAAUGCCUAAAGAGUAACGGAGGCGCGCAAUGGUGGGCUCAGCCUGAUUGGAAACCAGGCGUCGAGUGUAAAGGCACAAGCCCGCUUAACUGCGAGACCGACGGGUCGAGCAGGUACGAAAGUAGGUCUUAGUGAUCCGGUGGUCCUUCAUGGGAAGGCCAUCGCUCAACGGAUAAAAGGUACCCCGGGGAUAACAGGCUUAUCUCUCCCAAGAGUUCACAUCGACGGGGAGGUUUGGCACCUCGAUGUCGGCUCGUCACAUCCUGGGGCUGAAGUGGGUCCCAAGGGUUCGGCUGUUCGCCGAUGAAAGUGGCACGCGAGCUGGGUUUAGAACGUCGUGAGACAGUAAACAAUUGGACCUUGCUGUCUAUAAAUUUGGCUGUAUGCUGGAAACUCCGAGUAUCCGGUGGUACUGCGUUUUGAUUAUCAAGACGUAUGUGACAAUCCAUCCGGUGCGGACAAUCAGCAGGAAACCCCAAUUAUUGGGGGAUCCUCAGAGACUAUACGCCAAACAUCAAAUUAUAAUUGAUGAAGAUAUAGUCCGAACUGCAUGGCGACAUGUAGAGGCAAGUUGAAAGAUUUGUCCGCCGUAUUUGAAAAGAUACGGUCAGUAGAAACUAUGUUUCGAAAGUAACAGAAUUGUCGGUCCCUAUCUUCUGUGGGCGUAGGAAAAUUGAGGGAAGCUGCUCCUAGUACGAGAGGACCGGAGUGGACGUGCCUAUAGUGGACCUGUUGUUCUACCAAGAGCAUAGCAGGGUAGCCAUGCACGGAAAGGAUAACCGCUGAAAGCAUCUAAGCGGGAAGCCUCUCCCAAGACUAGUUUUCCCUUCCUCUUCGGAGGACUGAAGGCCCGUUCUAGACUAGGACGUUGAUAGGCUGGGUGUGGAAGCGCAGUAAUGCGUGUAGCUAACCAGUACUAAUUGGCCGUGAGACUUAAUCUU